CCUACGGGGUGCAGCAGUGGGGAAUUUUGCGCAAUGCUCGUAAGAGUGACGCAGCGACGCCGCGUGAAUGACGAAGGCCUUCGGGUCGUAAAGUUCUUUCGACAGGGAAGAAAAUGCCUAUAAGUAACUGUGUAUGUAUUGACGGUACCUGUAUAAGCAGCCCCGGCUAACUCCGUGCCAGCAGCCGCGGUAAUACGGAGGGGGCGAGCGUUGUUCGGAGGGACUGGGCGUAAAGAGCACGUAGGCGGUGUUGUAAGUCAUUAGUCAAAGACUAGAGCUCAACUUUAGUAAGGCUAGUGAUACUAUAAUACUAGAGUAUCAGAGAGGAUUGCAGAAUUCCUGGUGUAGCGGUGAAAUGCGUAGAUAUCAGGAGGAAUACCGUUAGCGAAGGCGGCAAUCUGGCUGGAAACUGACGCUGAGGUGCGAAAGCGUGGGUAGCAAACAGGAUUAGAUACCUCAGUAGUC
rnacentral:rRNA from 1 species